rnacentral:rRNA from 1 species
GUCGACCUGAGAUCAGACGAGAUU